GGGCCCGUAGCUCAGCUUGGUAGAGCAUCUGAGUUAUGAUCAGAUGGUCGCGCGUUCAAAUCGCGUCGGGCCCG
rnacentral:tRNA from 1 species